AGAGACAGCAGCCGCCGCGGGAAUACGGAGGAUCCAAGCGUUAUCCGGAAUCAUUGGGUUUAAAGGGUCCGUAGGCGGUCUUGUAAGUCAGUGGUGAAAGCCCAUCGCUCAACGGUGGAACGGCCAUUGAUACUGCAGGACUUGAAUUAUUGGGAAGUAACUAGAAUAUGUAGUGUAGCGGUGAAAUGCUUAGAGAUUACAUGGAAUACCAAUUGCGAAGGCAGGUUACUACCAAUUGAUUGACGAUGAUGGACGAAAGCGUGGGUAGCGAACAGGAUUAGAUACCCGAGUAGUCCCUGUCUCUUAUAC
rnacentral:rRNA from 1 species